CCAUGGCAGCAAUAAGUAUCUAUCUUGGAAAUUCAAACAGCAUUUUGCAUUAAAGAAAGAACAGGGAGAACGAAAUAUAACUGUGCAGUGCAACCUCUGCUUGCCAGCAACCAACCUCCAUUCAGCGUCUAAAUUACUCCACAUCCAACCUGAAGCAUCUUAAAGUAAGUAUUUUGUAAU